rnacentral:misc_RNA from 1 species
GUUUGUUCCCAUACAAUGGGGAGAUCUCGAAAGGGUGCCGACAAUGGACGUCUCCCAGUUUCUAAAGUCUUUCAAGAAGAACGUGGCGGCAAAGGCCAAACGUAGCUCUUCGGUACGGCAGACAGACGAAGCCACUAACUCAGACCCAGAGGACGAUGUGACUGACGUCUUUCACUCGGCCAGCGACAGCGAGGCGGACGGAGAGGCCGAGGACGGAGAGGUGAUCCUUGGCGGCCGAGCAGACAAGAUGGCCGGCAAGCGGUACACCGCAAACACGACCCACAGCAAACGAAACCGAGAAUUUGCCGCCUUGAAAGUGGUUGAGACUAACAGCGCCCCUGCUGUCGAGGCGGGCCGGUUUCAGCGCCAGCGCGCAGCGUUGGCACGGCAGGCAACAGAUACGCGCAAGCCUUCACGCACGGAAAUGAUUGCGUCGGUGCGGGCCGAGCUGUUGCGGCAGCGCGAGAAGCUCCGCGGAUCGAAUGCGCUCGAUUCAGCGAAUCAGGUUGAUGCACCGACGCAGAUGGAGACGACGAUGAUCGAGGUUGAAGACCUUCUCCAGGCCAGCGCGCCAACAGCCGCCACAUCCUCCUCGGUGCUAGAUUUCUUGCCAGCAGCACCUCUACCUGCUUCACUGCAUUCAACUCGCACGACCGCAUCGCGGGCAGCAUCAACGGCAGUCGCACUCAGCGAACCGCAGCCGCCACCAAGCCUGGUCGCGAAUGGCAGGGCCGUUACCUCCACGGCGAAUGAUCCCGCAAUGGAAGAGCCUCCGAAGCUGCCAAAGAAGAGGACCAAGUUUGAGCUGGCAAUGGCAAUGGCUCACGACGAGGUGGCUUCCUGAUGGGAUGAUUAUGGACAGAGAGAAAGUACUCGUAUAGUCGAACAAAGGUGGGGCAGGGCAACGAAGAAAAUCAGCGGUCUCUCUCCACACAGCCGGCGCCGUUGUUCACGAGCUACUUUAAUGACGAUAGCGUCCUGACUACGUGCUCAGGGUCGUGACGAAAAGGCCACCAGACAAGCGGAAAAGAAAAAAGAGACGUGUACGGAGAGCGGCAGACACUGCGAGGGAGCUCCGGCGUCUUAAGGGUGGUCGCAUCUUUUUUUUUUUCUUAUUGUCUACUGUUUCUCUUACUUUUCUGCGCGCUGAGAAGGGAGGGCGGUCUACAUCUAUCUUC